GUCCUUCUUCUUCUUGACUUUCUGCACCUCUCCUCCUGCGCUGGCCUUCUUCACCAUCUCCACUACCUGCAGCGUGCAGAGCAGACAGAUCUGCAUGGAAGAGAGAGAGCGGAGACACUGGGCUAGGUGUGUGCUCACAGCAUUCCCAAGACAAAAUCCUGGUGGCCAAAAAGAAAAUUUAAACCUGAAACCUGAACCCCAAACAAAAUGAAGGGAAAACGCACCGGGGAGGUGCAGCUUGCGGCAGCAGGAGUUACAGUGAUGUUUCUCUCUGAAGUUCCGGAUGGCGUCGUCCCCCAAGUUUGCUGGCCCGAAUAUCAUCUCAUAUGACCUGUGUGCAAGACACAGCUGGAUGCAGUGCCAAAUGGAUCCGUCAAAAUCUCCCCGACACCUGAAAGGAGAGGCAUUGCAGAGCAUGAUGGGCAUUACCGGGCUGACAUGUACAAAGAAGGUGCCGAGGGUGCAGAACUCACCAGCAGCCCUGUUUUCUGCUCUUGCUGAUAAAGGAGAUCCUCGGCUGACACACGACCCCGCCCCCUACCACUGAGAGCUAAACGCACACGUUCACACGGAUGCAGGUGAAGACGGAGACCAGGUGACUGAGGAGGACGAGAGGUGGGGGUACGACUGACUUCUCGUGGUACGCCAUGAUGAAAUGGUACCGCUGGUACUUCCACACCAGGUUCGA